rnacentral:rRNA from 1 species
CCUACGGGAGGCUGCAGUGAGGAAUAUUGGUCAAUGGACGAGAGUCUGAACCAGCCAAGUAGCGUGAAGGAUGACUGCCCUAUGGGUUGUAAACUUCUUUUAUAUGGGAAUAAAAUGUUCCACGUGUGUGAUUUUGUAUUUACCAUAUGAAUAAGGAUCGGCUAACUCCGUGACAGCAGCCGCGGUAAUACGGAGGAUACGAGCGUUAUCCGGAUUGAUUGGGUUUAAAGGUAGCGUAGGUGGAUUGUUAAGUCAGUUGUGAAAGUUUGCGGCUCAACCGUAAAAUUGCAAUUGAAACUGGCAGUCUUGAGUACAGUAGAGGUGGGCGGAAUUCGUGGUGUAGCGGUGAAAUGCUUAGAUAUCACGAAGAACUCCGAUUGCGAAGGCAGCUAACUGGACUGCAACUGACACUGAGGCUCGAAAGUGUGGGUAUCAAACAGGAUUAGAUACCCGAGUAGUC